rnacentral:rRNA from 1 species
AUUGAACGCUGGCGGCAUGCCUUACACAUGCAAGUCGAACGGUAACAGGUCUUCGGAUGCUGACGAGUGGCGCACGGGUGAGUAAUACAUCGGAACGUGCCCGAUCGUGGGGGAUAACGAAGCGAAAGCUUUGCUAAUACCGCAUACGAUCUACGGAUGACAGCAGGGGACCGCAAGGCCUUGCGCGACCGGAGCGGCCGAUGGCAGAUUAGGUAGUUGGUGGGAUAAAAGCUUACCAAGCCGACGGUCUGUAGCUGGUCUGAGAGGACGAACAGCCACAAUGGGACUGAGACACGGCCCAGACUCCUACGGGAGGCAGCAGUGGGGAAUUUUGGACAAUGGGCGAAAGCCUGAUCCAGCCAUGCCGCGUGCAGGAUGAAGGCCUUCGGGUUGUAAACUGCUUUUGUACGGAACGAAAAGACUCUGGUUAAUACCUGGGGUCCAUGACGGUACCGUAAGAAUAAGCACCGGCUAACUACGUG